UCCCUUUGUAUGCGCAGCAGUGCUUAACUGCAGCCUAUACCGCUCGCGCUAACACAGUAAUUAUGAGUAAAAGACGAAAAGUUGGACUUUGACAUGAAAUGGCUAGCUCACGGCGCGCCACUCCCUAAAAUGAACGAGGAGAGCACAAGUAAGCGCACGAGGAAUCCCUGUGCAUAUUUCGAUGGGUAUUUUGCAUCUUGAAGACAACUCGGGAAGAUCUCUGAAUUGAGUCGAGACAACACUGUGAGGACACAGGGGGCGUCAGAUUUGGCUGACCAUAGCAUUUUUGGACCGUUUCAAUGGGAAACUCUUUGCAAAUAACGUCUUAAGGGAGGCCCCUUCGCUUUGCCUCCGUUCGUUUCUUUGAGACACGCUGCUGUAUGUUUCCCGUUUGUCCUGAAGGCGCACACGGGCGGAUAUAUUGGAGUCCGGCGCAGAUCUGGCGCAGCGGGCGGGAGGAACACCAGGAUCAUUGCAGUACCUAUAAUGAAUGGCUGCUGAAAGACACCACUGACCCUGGCAACGAGACGUUACAUUAGUGCUGCUGGUGUCAUGUGAACAUAAUCAUUUAGCAAAUUAUUUCGGGAGCUUUGGUGCUUGCAGUGUUUCCUGGGUU